GUCCCUGUAGCGCAUGGUUAGCGCGUUGGACUUCUAAUCCAAAGGAAGUGGGUUCGAAUCCCACCUGGGAUG
rnacentral:tRNA from 1 species